rnacentral:rRNA from 1 species
CUUAUUAACCCUGAGGCGUGAUGACGAUGCACUACGGUGCAGAAGUAGUUGAUGCCAAGCUUCCAGGAAAAGCCUCUAAGCAUCAGGUAACACAGAAUCGUACCCCAAACCGACACAGGUGGUCAGGUAGAGAAUACCAAGGCGCUUGAGAGAACUCGGGUGAAGGAACUAGGCAAAAUGGUGCCGUAACUUCGGGAGAAGGCACGCUGGCGCGUAGGUGAAGAGACUUGCUCUCGGAGCUGAAGCCAGUCGCAGAUACCAGCUGGCUGCAACUGUUUAAUAAAAACACAGCACUGUGCAAACACGAAAGUGGACGUAUACGGUGUGACGCCUGCCCGGUGCUGGAAGGUUAAUUGAUGGGGUCAGCCGCAAGGCGAAGCUCUUGAUCGAAGCCCCAGUAAACGGCGGCCGUAACUAUAACGGUCCUAAGGUAGCGAAAUUCCUUGUCGGGUAAGUUCCGACCUGCACGAAUGGCGUAAUGAUGGCCAGGCUGUCUCCACCCGAGACUCAGUGAAAUUGAACUCGCUGUGAAGAUGCAGUGUACCCGCGGCAAGACGGAAAGACCCCGUGAACCUUUACUAUAGCUUGACACUGAACAUUGAGCCUUGAUGUGUAGGAUAGGUGGGAGGCUUUGAAGCGUGGACGCCAGUCUGCGUGGAGCCAACCUUGAAAUACCACCCUUUAAUGUUUGAUGUUCUAACUCGGCCCCGUGAUCCGGGGUGAGGACAGUGUCUGGUGGGUAGUUUGACUGGGGCGGUCUCCUCCCAAAGAGUAACGGAGGAGCACGAAGGUUAGCUAAUCACGGUCGGACAUCGUGAGGUUAGUGCAAAGGCAUAAGCUAGCUUGACUGCGAGAGUGACGGCUCGAGCAGGUACGAAAGUAGGUCUUAGUGAUCCGGUGGUUCUGAAUGGAAGGGCCAUCGCUCAACGGAUAAAAGGUACUCCGGGGAUAACAGGCUGAUACCGCCCAAGAGUUCAUAUCGACGGCGGUGUUUGGCACCUCGAUGUCGGCUCAUCACAUCCUGGGGCUGAAGUAGGUCCCAAGGGUAUGGCUGUUCGCCAUUUAAAGUGGUACGCGAGCUGGGUUUAGAACGUCGUGAGACAGUUCGGUCCCUAUCUGCCGUGGGCGUUGGAAGAUUGAGAGGGGUUGCUCCUAGUACGAGAGGACCGGAGUGAACGCACCACUGGUGUUCGGGUUGUCAUGCCAAUGGCACUGCCCGGUAGCUAAGUGCGGAAAAGAUAAGCGCUGAAAGCAUCUAAGCGCGAAACUUGCCUCGAGAUGAGUCUUCCCUGGGCCUUUAAGGUCCCUGAAGGAACGUUUAAGACUAAGACGUUGAUAGGCUGGGUGUGUAAGUGCAGCGAUGCAUUGAGCUAACCAGUACUAAUGAUCCGUGAGGCUUAACCUU